GAAAUGCGGUAAGUAAUGUGAAUUGCAGAAUUCAGUGAAUCAUCGAAUCUUUGAACGCACCUUGCGCUCCUUGGUAUUCCUUGGAGCAUGCCUGUUUGAGUAUCAUGAAAUCUUCAAAGUAAAUCUUUUGUUAACUCAAUUGGUUUCUACUUUGGUAUUGGAGGUCUUUGCAGCUUCACACCUGCUCCUCUUUGUUCAUUAGCUGGAUCUCAGUGUUAUGCUUGGUUCCACUCGGCGUAUAAGUUAUCUAUCGCUGAGGACACUGUAAAAGGUGGCCAAGGUAAAUGCAGAUGAACCGCUUCUAAUAGUCCAUUGACUUGGACAAUACUUUUAUGAUCUGAUCUCAAAUCAGGUAGGACUACCCGCUGAACUUAAGC
rnacentral:misc_RNA from 1 species